GUGGGGAAUAUUGGACAAUGGGGGGAACCCUGAUCCAGCCAUGCCGCGUGUGUGAAGAAGGCCUUUUGGUUGUAAAGCACUUUAAGCGAGGAGGAGGCUACCGAGAUUAAUACUCUUGGAUAGUGGACGUUACUCGCAGAAUAAGCACCGGCUAACUCUGUGCCAGCAGCCGCGGUAAUACAGAGGGUGCGAGCGUUAUUCGGAUUUACUGGGCGUAAAGCGUGCGUAGGCGGCUUUUUAAGUCGGAUGUGAAAUCCCCGAGCGUAACUUGGGAAUUGCAUUCGAUACUGGGAAGCUAGAGUAUGGGAGAGGAUGGUAGAAUUCCAGGUGUAGCGGUGAAAUGCGUAGAGAUCUGGAGGAAUACCGAUGGCGAAGGCAGCCAUCUGGCCUAAUACUGACGCUGAGGUACGAAAGCAUGGGGAGCAAACAGGAUUAGAAACCCUUGUAGUCC
rnacentral:rRNA from 1 species